UGUGCGUACAUUGCUAACUUGCUGUACUCAUGUUGUGCCAGUAGUUCUUGGCUCGAGCAUGAUGGUCAACAUAGCUGUCCUGGUAUUGACACUGUUGGUAGUGUAUGCGGCUCACAGGUGGCAGCAGAGGAAGAGAGCUGAGGAGGAAGCGUCAGAUCCGAUGGUGGUGCAGGCCAAGCUAGAGGCCAUGAUGAAGGCUCGGGAAAAACAGCAGCAGGCCUGGGAGGAAGCCUCCAGGAGGAAGCUUGAGGAACAGAAAGAGAGAGAGCAGAAGAAGCGCGCAGAAGUGUUGGAGAAGCUGGAGA